rnacentral:rRNA from 1 species
AGAUGAUGCAGCGGCUUGACAUCAAGACCAGUUGUUGAAAGCUUCGGCGCCUGAAAGAUUGAAGCCUGCGUCUGAUUAGCUAGUUGGCGGAGUAAUAGCCCACCAAGGCGACGAUCAGUAGCUGGGUCCUGAGAGGAUGAUCAGCCACACUGGAACCUGAGACACGGUCCAGACUCCUACGGGAGGCAGCAGUAAGGAAUAUUGCUCAAUGGGAGAAAUCCUGAAGCAGCAACGCCGCGUGAGGGAUGAAGGGCUUUGCUCGUAAACCUCUGUAGUGAGGGAAAAAUUUCCAUUCUAUGGAAUAUGAUGGUACCUCAAAAGUAAGCCCCGGCUAACUACGUG